rnacentral:lncRNA from 1 species
CUGUGAUGAGAAUAGGAACAUCACCUGAGAAGUCCAUUAGUUCCAGCUCCACUGUGUGACCUCAGACAAGUGACUUCACCUUUCUGAGCCUGUUUUCUUGCUGUACAAUGGACACUCACCUCUGAUCAGACUGUCUGUGACCUGGCCAGGAAGCUGGCCAAAGGCAAUACCCACCCAGAUCCUGGAGGCAAGAAGCCAGCAGGCGGGAACAAAGAAUUUUCCAUGGCUCCACAAUUAAUGAGGAACUGACACUCUUCAGGGUUUCAGUUGGUCUUUCACCCUCCUCUCCUUCAUCCCGCCCCAAAUUUCCGACGAGGGUGAUAUUUACUUUGGAAUUCUGCCCAGAACUUCAGGAGCUCAGCAUGGUUGCAGGUGUCUCAGAGAUAAGAAAGUGACUAAGAUGUGCUCAUGUCACCCACGUGUGAAGACUACCACAGUGUGCUCAUCCACUGUGUGCCAGUGUCUUCUAGGCACAAACAUCCUCCUGAGGAUGAUGGAGGGCUUUAACCAAACAGCAAAAAGCAGCACUUAAAC